UGUCUGCUCUACACAGGAAAAAAAGAAAAAACUAAAAAAAAGAAUUCCAUCUGUCUGUAUUUGAAAUCAGCUCGCCAACCUGUAGUUGGUCGAACCCCACCCAGAUGGUGCUGCGCAAAUGUAUGUUAAAAGAUAUCUUAUAUUAGUGUUGUGGGUGUCCAAUUUUUUUUUUGAAUGCCAUUUAGCCAAUGUGCCCAACCUGCUGCACAGAGAAAUCGUGACAAAGUAAAGAUAUGCUGAAGAGUUUCUAUUUCAAGGGCCAGAUCCUGCAGACAGUUCUGGAUCCUACAUUUGUCAACUAGCGCUAGCUUUGCACAUGAAAACACAUGUUGAAGUCUCUAAUGAGCUGCUGAUGGCACCAAAAUUGGCAGAGAAGAAUAAAAUGUCGAAAACUGUUAUAUCCACCUGAAAGAAAAAAAUCGUG